GAUGAACGCUAGCUACAGGCUUAACACAUGCAAGUCGAGGGGAAACGAUAUUGGAAGCUUGCUUCUGAUAGGCGUCGACCGGCGCACGGGUGAGUAACGCGUAUCCAACCUGCCCAUCACUUGGGGAUAACCUCGUGAAAGUAAGACUAAUACCCAAUGACGUCUCUAGAAGACAUCUGAAAGAGAUUAAAGAUUUAUCGGUGAUGGAUGGGGAUGCGUCUGAUUAGCUUGUUGGCGGGGUAACGGCCCACCAAGGCGACGAUCAGUAGGGGUUCUGAGAGGAAGGUCCCCCACAUUGGAACUGAGACACGGUCCAAACUCCUACGGGAGGCAGCAGUGAGGAAUAUUGGUCAAUGGACGAGAGUCUGAACCAGCCAAGUAGCGUGCAGGAUGACGGCCCUAUGGGUUGUAAACUGCUUUUAUAAGGGAAUAAAGUGGGAGUCGUGACUCUUUUUGCAUGUACCUUAUGAAUAAGGACCGGCUAAUUCCGUGCCAGCAG
rnacentral:rRNA from 1 species